CUCUGUCUGGGUCCCAGUCUUCUCACCGCCAGGCGGGCAGGUGAGGCCUCGGUCAUUCCAGGUGCAGCCUCGGAUCAGGGAUGACGGCCCAGGCUGAAGUAUCAUGAUGAAGAGCUUGGACCGAGGGCAGUUAAGGGCCUCAGAAUGGGAUGGUAUUUGGAGCCCGGGCCUUGAAAGAGAGGGUGACAGUAAAAUGAGGAGACUGGUGUUCUUAUAUGAAGAGGAGAUCAGGACACACACACACACAGAGGCACGACCCUGUGAGGACCCAGGAGGAAGACAGCGUCUGCAAACCAAGGAGACAGGCCUCAGUAGGAACCAGCCCUGCCCACGCCUUGGUCUCGGACUUCAGCCUCCAGGACUGUGAGGGAUGAAUGCCCAUGGCCG
rnacentral:lncRNA from 10 species